rnacentral:rRNA from 1 species
GAUGAACGCUGGCGGCGUGCCUAAUACAUGCGAGUCGAGCGAACGGACGAGAAGCUUGCUUUUCUGAUGUUAGCGGCGGACGGGUGAGUAACACGUGGAUAACCUACCUAUAAGACUGGGAUAACUUCGGGAAACCGGAGCUAAUACCGGAUAAUAUUUUGAACCGCAUGGUUCAAAAGUGAAAGACGGUCUUGCUGUCACUUAUAGAUGGAUCCGCGCUGCAUUAGCUAGUUGGUAAGGUAACGGCUUACCAAGGCAACGAUGCAUAGCCGACCUGAGAGGGUGAUCGGCCACACUGGAACUGAGACACGGUCCAGACUCCUACGGGAGGCAGCAGUAGGGAAUCUUCCGCAAUGGGCGAAAGCCUGACGGAGCAACGCCUCGUGAGUGAUGAAGGUCUUCGGAUCGUAAAACUCUGUUAUUAGGGAAGAACAUAUGUGUAAGUAACUGUGCACAUCUUGACGGUACCUAAUCAGAAAGCCACGGCUAACUACGUG